AAGGUUGUGGCAGCCUGAUGGACAUUGAUCAGACGGGAAUUCCCGCUGGAGUGAGAUAAGGUUCCAGGGGUUCACCGUGCCAGUUUUACAACACAGGAUAAAUCCAUCCCCCUGGAACUCAGAGAGGUGAUGCUCAGGCAGGAUGUGGAAGGGCUCACCCGGGCCACACUCCUCUCCAGGAGUUGCAGUAAGGGAGCCUCUGAUCAGAAAGAGUCAGCUUUAAACAUCAGCUAGAUCCAGAGAGAAUGAAGCCAACUUACUAUGCAACCAGUAAAGAAUUUUCUGCUCCCUUCCCCCCUACUCCUUCCCUUCACUCUAACCGAAGACCUGAAGUCAAAAUUAGCAAGCUGAGGAAGAAGGCUGGGCAAAGAGAAGAAACCAAGCACAUCCAUUCCCUCAAAGGUGUUUUAUGAAUGGCACGUGAGUUAUUUCACAACAUGCUUCCAUACCAAUCCAUAUACAUUCCUGUAAAUGGAAAACAGGAUUAUUUAUGUUGAUGACAAUACCUAUGAUAAUAAAAAGAAAAUUAUUAUAAUA